rnacentral:rRNA from 1 species
AGUAGUUUGUCCUGGCUCAGGACGAACGCUGGCGGCGUGCUUAACACAUGCAAGUCGAACGGAAAGGCCCUGCUUUUGUGGGGUGCUCGAGUGGCGAACGGGUGAGUAACACGUGAGUAACCUGCCCUUGACUUUGGGAUAACUUCAGGAAACUGGGGCUAAUACCGGAUAGGAGCUCCUGCUGCAUGGUGGGGUUGGAAAGUUUCGGCGGUUGGGGAUGGACUCGCGGCUUAUCAGCUUGUUGGUGGGGUAGUGGCUUACCAAGGCUUUGACGGGUAGCCGGCCUGAGAGGGUGACCGGCCACAUUGGGACUGAGAUACGGCCCAGACUCCUACGGGAGGCAGCAGUGGGGAAUAUUGUACAAUGGGCGGAAGCCUGAUGCAGCAACGCCGCGUGCGGGAUGACGGCCUUCGGGUUGUAAACCGCUUUCGCCUGUGACGAAGCGUGAGUGACGGUAAUGGGUAAAGAAGCACCGGCUAACUACGUG